rnacentral:rRNA from 1 species
AUUGAACGCUGGCGGCAGGCCUAACACAUGCAAGUCGAACGAGUGGCGGACGGGUGAGUAAUGUCUGGGAAACUGCCCGAUGGAGGGGGAUAACUACUGGAAACGGUAGCUAAUACCGCAUACCAUCGGAUGUGCCCAGAUGGGAUUAGCUAGUAGGGGGGGUAACGGCUCACCUAGGCGACGCUCCCUAGCUGGUUUGAGAGGAUGACCAGCCACACGUGAACUGAGACACGGUCCAGACUCCUACGGGAGGCAUCAGUGGGGAAUAUUUCACAAUUGGCGCAAUCCUGAUGCCGCCAUGCCGCGUGUAUGAAGAAGGCCUUCGGGUUGUAAAGUACUUUCAGCGAGGAGGCGUUACUCGCAGAAGAAGCACCGGCUAACUCCGUGCCAGCAGCCGCGGUAAUUC